ensembl:lncRNA
GCAAGGUCUUGGCAUUAGGUCCUGCUCCUCUGGGAUAACACACACAGGAGUAUUAACGCAGUAAAAAAUGUAUAUAUACAUAUAUUUUUUUAACAGAUAUUAAAUAAUUACAACAAUAAUUAUGAUUUUGGUUUUAUGUAGACAUACAUAUCUCUCAUCUCACCUCAUACAUAAAAUGCAUAUAUAUAUAUAUAUAUUAAUAGAAAGUCAAAGUGAACUAAAACAUUUUCAGGCUUUAUUUUGCAUCUUUGGAUUUAAAAUGAUACAAUGAUGGGUGGGUCAUAGUUCACCUAUUUUAGGGUUCCAAAAGUAUUUGGGCAGAUUAAAAUGAUGUACUGUAAGGUUUCAACUGAGAACAUAAAACAGAUCUUCAGUUAAAUACAAAAAAACGUAUUAAUUCCAACAGGCUCAAAACUGAGGCUCUGACAUCUCCAGGUCUUAACAAACCCUGGUGCUCUCCCUUCUCGAUGAGGAAAUCAAUGAUUCUCAUCGACACCUUGACAAUAUUUCUCUCCAUGAAGUCCAGAAUUUCACGGAAGAAGUUGGGUGUGAAAUUCAUCUGGGGUUCUACUCCGACAUAGUCUGGACAGAGCUCUGCGCGCACACGCACACACACACACACACACACACACACACAGGUGUGAGAGAUCACUUUGGGGGGAAAAACCUAAUAUGCCUCCAACCAAAUUAAAGACAAUUUUAUCACCUCCACAUCCUUAUCAAAAGACAUUUUCAUCAAUCCUCCCAAGCUAAAAUAUUUGUCAUCUUGAUUGACUCCAUCUAGCUCUGUGGCGUCUCUUUAACCUCAGGCGUGAAAUGUAUGAGAUGAUGACCACUGUCCAGGAUGAAAGAUGCGAUUAAUUGCACUGCAAGAGAAGGCAGCUGUUCAGACUGGUGAACCGAUUCCAACGUAAAAUGGGGGAACCCUGAUCGUACACAAAGUCUACACCAAGAUCUCAAAACGCGACAUCAAAGUUGUCUCCGCUGUGUGGUCUGAAGUAUUAUUAGACUGUAACGGAGUUGAGUUGACACCUGGACAUUUCCCGAGUCAUGUGUGGAGCAGGAAUUGGGAUUGAUGAAGGAAUCCUCGACUGGGCUAUCACAGUUUGUUGACUUGCAUUGUGGAGCAGCAUCUCUGUGUGGACUGACAAUCUUCGCCACAGGAAAACCAGUCCAGACUCAGCAGGGGUUCGAUUCCCACUUCAGCUUAACAGUGUUCACUCACUUCCCCCCGAAAGCAAUGUUCAAGACCAAUUUUGGCACACUGUCAGCUCCCCUAUAUAGGUUUUCUAUGUACAGCAAAAUUGAAAAUGUUUUGUCCUGCCGCAAUACAGUAUAUUUACGUCUGUGCUUAUGAAAUUUGGCCUCUAAAUACUUUUUUUUCCUAGUUCGUAAACUGACCUGUUGUUGUGUUGAUGAAAUACACAGGUGGCAUUUUGAGACAUUCAACCUGUGUUUUAAACUGAGAGAGUUCAUCAGUAGUGAGUUCCCUUCUUUCACCUGAGGAAAAAAUUAAUAAUAUUGACAUCAGAUUAUUUUACCCGUAGUUCCAUGUGCUUUUGUGCUAGUAACAAUGUAUUUAUGUCAUACUCUUUUAAAUCCACCUGUUAAAGGCAUUCAUUUAUUGUAUUGCCAGCAUUGUGUAUUGAGCUUUUGUACAACUUGUACAUUGUUUUCAGAUGUACAAGUUGUACAAACAUUUUGGCAAUUAUUUAACCUUUUGCAGAAAACAAUGUGUGUCCGGAGGAGUCAGCGGCUGUUUUCUACAAAACUUGUCAACUCUUAACUGUCCUCAGAAUCAGUAGUCUCUGGAACAUGAGGGUGUGUUUGAGUCCGCAAUCCAUCCUGUGUAUUUAAAGGAAAAUAAAGGGCAGUGAUUUCGGAAGAUCUAAAUUCUUACUGUAGAGUUCCAGAGAGAUGUAGGUGUUUCCAUUGAUGGAGGUUGUAGUCUGGGUCAAAAGACAGUCUGGACAAGUGGGCAGGAAAAUGGCAGUGGAAGGCACUCCGGACACUGUUAAAUCACAGGAAAACAGACACAGACAGGUCAAUAUUAGUGUACUACAAAGUGAAGAGGGUGUAAUUUGGGAUUAAAGUGUAGUGUACUACUUACUCCAGCUAAGCUUGUUGUCUUCAAGAGUCAUGUUGAAACUGUAACUGAGACAUUUUUCACUAAGAAGAGUAGAAGGAGGAAAAGGACAGGAGUGGAGGUGGUGGAUGAGUGGAUGUUGAAGGAGGUGGAUUGGGAGUGCGAGUAAAGGAGGAGGGGGUGGAGAAAUGGAAGGAGUGGAAGGAGAAGGAAUAGGAAAAAUAAAGCAUUAUUUUAGUCACAAAUUUCCACACGGUUCAACAAGGUUCUUGGGCAACUGGUGAGCAACAAUGGUUAAGAUCCUUGCUCAAGGGCAGAACAAAAAAAAUUUGUUCACCUAAUCAGCAAAGAGAUGUUAUUUCUUGGCCCAGUGGUCCUAUCGGGACUAAAGGAGAGAAGGAGGAAGAGUAGUAAAAGAAGGAGUAAUGAAGAGGGAGAGAGAAGGAGAAGGACGGGGAAGUGGAGCAAGAGAAUAUAGGAAGAUUGUAAAUGUUAGGGUCUUGGUUCCAUCAAAUCUGUUUUAUAAUAUGAUAAUGUAGUUCUCCUGUUAACACACACACAAUCAACUGUGCACACUACAAACAUAUUAUCACACACAGACUUACACAAUCAACUGUCCACACUACAAACAUACAAUCACACACAGACUUACACAAUCAACUGUCCACACUACAAACAUAUUAUCACACACACACUCACUAUUUCACACAAAUGGUGCUUUUCAGUACGUCGCUCUUUUCCCAGCGUACAAUGUCCCAUCGGGCGUUAAUUAACAGAACUUCACUUAGAGUCCUGGCGCCUAAAAAAAUAAUGUUAUUUAACAGAACAAUGAGGAUUAAACAGGAAGAGAAGAGGACCAACACAAGAAGAAAAGCAAAUAAAACUUAAAACCUGGUCGAUUGUUGCUGACAGCCACCAAAGACCAAUUCCCUAGGAGCUGGAAGGAGAGAUCAGAUGAGACAAUCAGACAGGGAGGUCAUUCACAGGCAUAUAUACACACUCAACCUGCGAGGACCCUUACAAAUACCCCUGCCACUUCUCAUGGAACAGACGUUCAUUAACGUAAAUGGCCAAAGAGCCAAUCAUUUUGCCGCAACUCAAUAUAUAAAGCACGCAGACAUGUCUACGUGCAGAGGUCUAGCUGUUGUUUAGCCAAACAUUCGAAUGGGGAAGACAGCGUACUAGAUGGCUAUGGCCGCCGUGUGAUUGUUGUUGCCGGACGUGGUGGAUCGGGCAUCUCAGAAGCAGCUGAACUUUUGCGCGCUACAGCCUCUGGAUUCGACUGAGGAUGAUGUGUUAAACAAAAAGCAUCCAGCGAGCUGCAGUUUGGUUGGGGCGAAAAACAACUCAUUAAUGACAGAGUUGAGAGGAGAAUGGACUGGUUCAUUCAAGCUGGCGGAAAGGCCAUAUUCAAAUAUCCUUUACAAUAGUGAUGUGCAGAAGGGCAUCUCUGUAUGGGAGCGACCCAUCAAACACUGAAGCAGAUAGAGGUACAAGGGGCCCCUACCCAAUACUAGAAAGGUGUACCUAAUGAAGUGGUCGGUGACAGUAAGAUAAUACACACCGAUGCAACUGUAAAGAGACUGACAUAGAUCAACAGAUAGUCAGGCAGACGAAACGUUUUUAAUGUGUCCAUAAAUUCUCACCAGAUCAUUGGUCUCCAUGUCCAGGGGUUUGAGGAGUUUCUCGCAGUCUUGAGAAGAAGGAGCCGUCUGACUCACCGAGACCAGGCUGAAGAUCACAGCAACACACACCACCAACAUGCUGACACUACCUGCGUCGCCCUGUGUAGUACCUAUGUAUCACUAUGUAUCCCUUGCGAUUUCUAAUGCAGUCUAUGGAUUGUUUUUCAUCCGGUCACAUUCUUAAGCGCCACACUCUCGAUUGACAUAAAUAUUAGCCACCAAUGUUUGAGUAACUAGAACUCCCAACUCCUCUUCACUUUCCUUCCCUCUCCCCCUCCACAAACAGGAUGGUAUAUCGCCACUAUUGACUUAAGGCUUUGCCAUUACUGAUCCUAAACUCUAACAAAUGUAGAACUUUGGCCUAGAUUUGAACCGAGCCACUGUACACAGUGAUUACUGGCAAACUACUUGGCAUAGUGCACCUUGGGAGUAGA